UCUACAGUUCCUGAUAGAUAAAACAAAUAGUUCUGGCCUUUAAAGCGAAAAAACGCAUAGGACAAAGUGAGCGUAAUGUUGAUUAAAUUCAAGUUUUGUGCGUUUGAUAUUUUAGUAGUAAUACGGAAGUUAUUAAAUUUAUUAAAAAUGCAAAUCUUGGUAAUAUGAAUUCGAAUAAAUUAUAAAAAAAAAUUAUAAAUAUAAAUUAUAAAGAAUGACAUUGUAUUAAGAUUAGCACUAAGUCAUGUUGUUUCAAUUCUGUAGUUAUAUACGAUUUUAUUACUUUUUGUAAAAAGUUGUGGGUUUACAGUAUUAAGAAAAUAAAGAAUUAAGAAUGAAUAGUUGAAAUUAUUAGCAAUUAUAAAAAAAUUUUUUACAUUUUAUAUUGUUUAGUUAAAUUCAGUAUUGUAAGAGAUGUUUUUAAAAUAAUGGGAUACAGUUACUUGUUACUGGAGAAAAAUGUAACUGAUUACAGAUACAGAUACACAUUUUCUAUGAAUAACUAAAUAUAAAUUUAUUUAUUUUUAAAAUAAAUCUAGAUAUAUAUAAUAGAUACAUAAUAGCCCAAAGAGCACAAGGUUGUAAGAAAGUUUUUACAACUCCAUGAAACGUUUGUAUGUGUUACAUACUGGAAUAUUAUAUGACUAAAAAGUUAAUGUUGAUUAUACAAUUUGUAAUUUUUGUAACAUCUGUUGUACAUUGAGUAUAUAUAACUUAUAACGUCUACACGAUUCCGUAAUUAAUCGGUAUUUAAUUUAAGAUUUUGUAACGUCUUGUACGACUCAUACUAUAUUAGUUGCGAUAUAAAUAUCACUGUUUUUAAACAUUUAUACAAUUCCGUAUAUGUUAACCCAACUUUCGUCAAUAACAUUGAUAUCCUUGGUAUGUGUACCUGCUGCCUUCUGCUUUACUUUGUAAUUGACAGAUAUGCUUAGUGGUGGUGAAUGAUCUUUUAUCAUUUUUCACAAGUGCUUAGUUUUUAACGUUGAUAAAUAAUAAGAAUACUGUCAGGUAAAUAACCAUACAUAAUUGUACUGCAAUAGAUAUACUUGCGAUAGGUAUAUGAACCAUGUGAAAUAUAUGUGAGAUAUUAGUUUUUAAGCAAAACCGAUUAAAUUGUUUGAUAAGAGGUA